GGCCCGGACAGCUCCCUGGUGUGGACUGCAGACCCCAAGCCUGGCCGCCCAUCCUGCCCGGACCUGGCCUCACCAACCCGUGCCAGCCUAGCCCUGCCAAAAAGACUGGGUAUAGGAGACUCACGUCAACUGAUUACAUCCAGCAGUGGUGACCCAGGCCCCGACUGCAGGACCCCAAGGACUACUGACAGGAGCAGAUGAGCAGCC